rnacentral:lncRNA from 1 species
CAGAGAGGCGCUAUGCCUCCCUGCCGGCGACACGAUACAGCGCUGCAGAACCGACCCCGACGCAGCCGCCAUCGCUGAUGCCACUGCCAGUCAUGCGGUUCCGCCCCUGCGUUGCCGCGCGGGGCCGCGCACGCAAAUACGCAGGCACGCGCGGGAGCACGCCCGGGAGCGCGCAUGCGCAGCGCUGCUGGCCCGCUCUCUGAGGAGCUUUCAAUACUUUGGGGUCAAGUUUGAGGCAGUUGUAACUGUACUGAGUUUAGUUUUGCUAAUAAUGGUAUUCUACGUGUGUCAGCCUCGUGUGGACUUCUGUAAUGACUAAUGGAUAUGUUUAUAUCCUGAGCAUUUGCUGUAGGAAUUUUAAAUGCAAUCCCAAAACUCAAGAUUACCUUAUUUGGAGAAAUAUUCGUGUUACUAUGUUUAAAAUUUAAUAGAACCAUAUUUUACCUUUCACUUUGGGACUCGCACAGGAUGUUUGCAGCUCUUGAUAUACAGCAAUCUCAACUGUUGCUUUAAUAUGUACCAAUGACAGUCUUUGAAAAACUAUUUAUCCAGAACUAGAACGUGUCUUUUAAGAGCAUGCGGUUUUAUAAUUACGUGGAAGUAUGCUACGCAAGGGAAAAAAGCCUCUUGCGAGUGUUAAGGGUCUUCAUAAACAGAAACCGCAAGGAACCUGGGAUCUGACAGCUGUUGGAGGAAUGCCUGUGAGGAAGGAGGAGGAACAGAAGGUAACUGAGGAUCCUUGAAGAAUUUUUGGAAGUGAAGUAACCAAACAUAAUUUUUGAAUGCUUUGAUGUCUUAAAUGGUACAUCCAAACUUAAGUGAAAUAGAGCUGUGAGGACGCUAGCAUGUAAUUUUCUUUCUCUACUUCUCUACAUUUGGAGGAUGGAAAUGUAGAUGUUCUUCCAUUGUGCCAGCCUCCUCAUUCUUCUUUCUCCAAUGCCGCAUCUUCCUGCAAACUUCCUGCCACAACUCAAACAACAGGAAAAUAAAUGAUCUGAAAUCCUCCUGAACUGCAGCCUACCUAUCGUGGUCUCUAUGGGUGCAAACUUCCUUCCAGAAGCUUGUUCAGCUGGCUAAAACAGGACAUUUGCCAAUGCAGCCAAAAGUUGGGUCUUAUACUGGCUACCUCCUAUGCAGAGUGAAAAACUUUUCUUUCUCCCACAGCCACAGACAUCGCUCCUCUUCCAGCUCAACAUCUUUCAAAGGGAUGGCUCUCAGUCCCGAAAUGAAAAGAAAAGGUGGCUUGGUGCAAAUCAUUCUCUUUAUCAGCAAAAGAAAUACCAAAGCCUGUGUCCUUCUGACAUAGUGAGCUGUCGAGGUAGUCCAGGGAAAAGAUGACAGUGAAUUGAGUUAUGGGAUGGCAAUGGAGACUGAAAAGAAUCUGUGUUUAUUAUAUGUAUAUAUAUCAUUAAGGUAGAACUAGUGGAUUUUCUCUGGCACUGCACAUGGGAAGCAAGUGAAGGAGAGUGAUCUAGAAUGACGCCACCAUUUUUGCCUGAGAAAUUCAGUACUCAGAGGUGUCUGUCAUUCAGAGAGAUGGAGGAAACAAGAAGAGGAGCAAGUUGGGGGAGAGGGUAAGCAGAAUCAAAAACUGUGUUGAUACAUUAACUUUAGGAUGCAUAGUAGACAUCAGAGUACAGAUGGAGUUUAGGAGCAAAGUUAUAUAGAGAGAUAAAUUUGAGAACCUGUAAUUCUUUUAUUUGUGGCAGAUAAUUAGACAAAUGAUUUCUAAAUAUUCCCAUGACUACUACA